rnacentral:rRNA from 1 species
UACAGAGGGGGCAAGCGUUGUUCGGAAUUGCUGGGCGUAAAGGGCGCGUAGGCGGCCUUCUAAGUCGGACGUGAAAUCCCCGGGCUCAACCCGGGAACUGCGUCCGAUACUGGAAGGCUUGAAUCCGGGAGAGGGAUGUGGAAUUCCAGGUGUAGCGGUGAAAUGCGUAGAUAUCUGGAGGAACACCGGUGGCGAAGGCGGGUCUCUGGGCAACAACUGACGCUGAGGAGCGAAAGCGUGGGGAGCGAACAGG